CUGUGGUGCAUUGUAGUUGCAUUGCAUGUUCUAGCAGUACCCGUGCAAUGUUUCCACAGUGCAUCACAG
rnacentral:pre_miRNA from 12 species